rnacentral:tRNA from 1 species
AAGGAUGUGCCUCAGUGGUAGAGCGCUUGCCUGACAUGUGUGAGGCCCUGGGUUCAAUUCCCAGCAUAUUCA